GGAUGUGAGGGCGAUCUGGCUCUGACAUCUGCCACCCCAUUGAUCAGCAGGGUUGAGUUGGCUGAUCUGGCUGGCUAGGCGGUGUUCCUUUCCUCCCUCCCUGCUCCGUGUGUGCCCCUCCCAAAGUUGCAUGUUCAGUCGAGGAGGACGACGGACGACCGACGACCUUCCCCAAUAGAAGAGGACGGUUCUUCGAACAAGGGUAUAGAGUAGCUGCACUUGCCUGCUAGGACCUCCAGAUAAGCUCUCAAGGUCCAUUUGUAGGAGAAUACAGGGUAGCCAAGCUUCCAGGACUCCAGACACAUUCAAAUGAGGCAUUGCAUAUGGCAGUCUGCCUUUCUAA
rnacentral:snRNA from 1 species